GCGGCUGUAGCUCAACAGGAUAGAGCAUCGGACUUCUAAUCCGAGGGUUGUGGGUUCAAGUCCCGCCAGCCGCGCCA
rnacentral:tRNA from 2 species